GAAAAGUUUCCUGCUUCCAGGUAAAUUCUCUACAGAAAUACGGCUUACCAAUAACCGAAACAAAUAAGAACAAACAGAUUAUAAACUUGUGGUUUGGGCUUUUAUACCAUAAUUUUUCAACUGAAAUAGUUGAGUUACCAAUGAUGUGAAGCAGCUUAACAAAAGAAAGAAAAGAAAAUCAUCAAAAGUGGUUUCAAACCUUCAAUAAACACUGGCAACAACAUGCUCCACAAACUUAUUUCUUUCAACUCAGGCCCCAUUUCCAAACUAGGGGGAUUGAUUACAUGAAUUCUUUGUCAUAAUCCUGUUACCAUUGAGGCCAAACAUUCUGACUUAAUGUGGCUCUAAAUCAUUUAUACCACUUGAGCCCGUCUAAUUCUACCACUCCUAUUAUGUCAUCCUACAACUUGAAUCUACUCAUCUUCCACACCUAUGAACCCUGGGUCCACGCUCAAUAUUGAACAUAUCCAAACAAUCUAGACAACCCUCAAAACAUGUUUUUCUUACGGGGAUUAUAAAAUAUUAACUUAAUUUAAUCAUUAUCUUUUUGGUCUAAUGACCAAAAAACCCCAACUUUUCAUUUUUUUUAAAUUUUUACCCAAAUCUGUUAAUUUGAGCAAUUUUACCCAGAUUGCAAAAUUACUUUCAAUUCUACCAACCAGUCAAAAUAAAAAUAAAAGCAACAAUGUAUUAUUAAUACAAAUAAACAUAAUUUCCCAUCUUUUUUUACCCUAGAUGAUGUGAUAAGCAUCUCAUAUUGAUUAGUGUGAGUUGUUAAGCUACUAGGGGGGGGUGAUUUGUCAAAAAGAGAAACCUUCUCCAUAAGGUGUUGAUUGAAUAGAAUUCCUCUUCUUUGGAUUAUUUUCUCUUCUCUCUUCUCUUUUAGUAUUCUUCUUCUGCUCUCUCUCUCUUUUCUAUUGGAAUUGCAUCAGUGGUAUCAGAGCAAACAACCCUGGCCAUAGGUUUGCUGUUGCUAAUUCUUCCUCUCCCCUUCCUCGUUCUUGAACCUACCAAUUUACCCAUGUUCUUCUAUUCUUUCCUUUCCUUUCUCUUCUGUUCUCAUUCUCCCUAUUCUUUCUUUCUCUUCUGAUUCCACCUAAUUUCUUCUCAAAAAAAUUCUUCUUUCUUUCUUGAAAUCUUGAAUUAAAUUCUUUCUUCUUCUGUUGCUUUCUGGUUCUUUCUUCU
rnacentral:misc_RNA from 1 species